GCAUGACUGGCUCAGUUGGUGGAGCAUGUGACUCUUGAUCUCAGGGUUGUGGGUUUGAGCCCCAUAUUGGGCA
rnacentral:tRNA from 1 species